GAGGCUACUAUGCUUCUGGAAGCACGGAGCCUUCCGUGCUUCCAGGUUAUUUUUGAUGUUGCGACUUUCGAAUCAUCGAUCGGCUCCGUUAAACUUGAUCUAGAGUAUUUGAAGUACCUAGAAAAUAAAUUUUAUGAUUUUUCGAUAUCAUUUCCCUAGUGAAUGAAGGGGCUCAAAAUCAACGGCUGCAAAUAAAAAUCAUACAAAAUGUAAUAAUAUGACAUUAAAAUUUUAAAUUAAAGAUAUUGAUCUUGUUUUAUAUAGUAUAAAGAAUUUUCUAUCAAAAUUUCACGUGAUUUGGAUAUUUCUAUACCGUUAAACUUGCAAACGGCUCACUACGGCCAUUGAAAUUUAUUGAUUUUGAACCUAUUUGAUCACUAGGCAAAUGAUAUCGAAAAAUAAUAAAAUUUAUUUUCUAGGUACUCCAAAUACUCUAGAUCAAGUUUAAUGAAGCCGAUCGACGAUUCGAAAGUAGCAACAUCGAAAACAAGCUGGAAGCACGGAAGGCUCCGUGCUUCCGAUAGCAUAGUAGCCUCACUCUAUAUAUAUAUAUAGAGUGCGGCUCUAUAUAUAUAUAUAGAGUGCGGCUAGGAUGCUUAUGGAAGCACGAAGGGCUUCGUGCUUCCACUUUGUUUUCGAUGUUCGGACUUUCGAAUCGACGAUCAGCUUCGUUAGACUUGAUCUAGAGUAUUUGAAGUAUCUAGAAAAUAAAUUUUGCGAUUUUUCGAUAUCAUUUCCCUAGUGAUCGAAGUGGCUCAAAAUCAACGGCUGAAAAUAAAAAUCUUACAAAAUAUGAUGAUAUGACAUUAAAAUUUUAGAUCAAAGUUAUUGAUCUUGUUUUAUAUGGUAUAAAGAAUUUUCUAUCAAAAUUUUAUAUAAUUUGGAUAUUU
rnacentral:lncRNA from 1 species